GUCUGGGUGGCUCAGUUGGUUGAGCGUCUGACUUCAGCUCAGGUCAUGAUCUCAUGGCUCAUGGGUUCGAGCCCCACGUCAGGCU
rnacentral:tRNA from 1 species